ACGGGUGAGUAACACGUGAGUAACCUGCCUUAGACAUUGGGAUAGCCUCGGGAAACCGGGAUUAAUACCAAAUGAAAUCACAUAUGCACAUGCAUAAAUGAUCAAAGCUCCGGCGGUCUAAGAUGGACUCGCGUCCCAUUAGCUAGUUGGUGAGGUAACGGCCCACCAAGGCGACGAUGGGUAGCCGGCCUGAGAGGGUGAACGGCCACAUUGGAACUGAGAAACGGUCCAAACUCCUACGGGAGGCAGCAGCU
rnacentral:rRNA from 1 species